UGAGGAAUAUUGCCCAAUGGGGGAAACCCUGAGGCAGCAACGCCGCGUGGACGAAGAAGGCCUUCGGGUUGUAAAGUCCUUUUCUGGGGGAAGACACAGACGGUACCCCAGGAAUAAGCUCCGGCUAACUACGUGCCAGCAGCCGCGGUAAAACGUAGGGGACAAGCGUUAUCCGGAUUUACUGGGCGUAAAGCGCACGUAGGCGGUCUGGUCAGUUGGACGUGAAAGCUCCCGGCUUAACUGGGAGAGGUCGUUCAAUACUGCCAGGCUUGAGGCUGAGAGAGGAGAGCGGAAUUCCCGGUGUAGUGGUGGAAUGCGUAGAUAUCGGGAGGAACACCAGUGGCGAAGGCGGCUCUCUGGCUCAGUUCUGACGCUGAGGUGCGAAAGCGUGGGCAGCGAACGGGAUUAGAUACCCCGGUAGUCCACGCUGUAAACGAUGGAUACUGGGUGUCGGUGGUCAUUAACCCCACCGGUGCCGCAGCCAACGCGUUAAGUAUCCCGCCUGGGGGCUACGGCCGCAGGUU
rnacentral:rRNA from 1 species